rnacentral:rRNA from 1 species
CCUACGGGAGGCAGCAGUGAGGAAUAUUGGUCAAUGGACGAGAGUCUGAACCAGCCAAGUAGCGUGAAGGAUGACUGCCCUAUGGGUUGUAAACUUCUUUUAUAUGGGAAUAAAAUGUUCCACGUGUGGGAUUUUGUAUGUCCCAUAUGAAUAAGGAUCGGCUAACUCCGUGCCAUCAGCCGCGGUAAUACGGCGGAUCCGAGCGUUAUCCGGAUUUAUUGGGUUUAAAGGGAGCGUAGGUGGAUUUGUAAGUCAGUUGUGAAAGUUUGCGGCUCAACCGGAAAAUUGCAGUUGAAACUGGCAGUCUUGAGUACAGGAGAGGUGGGCGGAAUUCGUGGUGUAGCGGUGAAAUGCGUAGAUAUCACGAAGAACGCCGAUGGCGAAGGCAGUUCACUGGACUGCAACUGACACUGAGGCUCGAAAGUGUGGGUAGCAAACAGGAUUAGAUACCCGUGUAGUC